GGAGGGUGCGAGCGUUAAUCGGAAUUACUGGGCGUAAAGCGCGCGUAGGCGGCCUGAUCAGUCGGAUGUGAAAGCCCUGGGCUUAACCUGGGAAUUGCACUCGAUACUGUCAGGCUAGAGUAUGGGAGAGGGAAGUGGAAUUUCCGGUGUAGCGGUGAAAUGCGUAGAUAUCGGAAGGAACACCAGUGGCGAAGGCGACUUCCUGGCCCAAUACUGACGCUCAGGUGCGAAAGCGUGGGUAGCGAACAGGGAUUAGAUACCCUGGUAGUCCACGCCGUAAACGAUGAGAACUAGAUGUCGGGAGGAUUUACCUCUCGGUGUCGCAGCUAACGCGUUAAGUUCUCCGCCUGGGGAUACGCCGGCAACGGUA
rnacentral:rRNA from 1 species